UAGUAAGACCCCUGAAAGACUAUCAGGUUGAUAGGUUGGAGGUGUAAGUACAGUAAUGUAUUCAGCUGACCAAUACUAAUAGGUCGAGGGCUUGAUCAAAUAUUUAUUAU
rnacentral:rRNA from 2 species